rnacentral:rRNA from 1 species
CAGGUUGAUAGGCUGGAUGUGUAAGCACGGUAACGUGUUCAGCUAACCAGUACUAAUGGACGAAAGCUUGGCCG